rnacentral:rRNA from 1 species
UUCAAGAGGGCGUGAAACCGCUGAGAAGGAAACGGAUAGAGUCGACGAAACUGGACGGCGUUCAGCCGUUGGCCACAGCGGUCCCGCGAGAGCGAGCCUCGAUGAGGGGGCGCGCUCGUGGGUGGCUGUCGUGCGCGAGCGGUGUAUUUGUCGUCGGUAUGCGCCGAGAGUUCGGGCGCCGUACGCUGGAGUGCACGUAGAGGACCAUGCCCUCCGGGUGUGGAAACCUGCGUGCGCAAAGGCGCAUCGGCGGUCGAGCAGCGAGACGCGUCUCCGCUAGGGUGCAAGCGUUGUCGUGCUUGGCUAGCACGGGCGUUGGGCGGUCGCGUGCGACUUGCCUAUGCCUGGAGCUGGCCGCCGGCAGCGUGUUGCGCUGAGACGCAGAUCUCGGUGUAAAAGUCGACCACCUAUCCGACCCGUCUUGAAACACGGACCAAGGAGUCUAGCAUAUGCGCGAGUCAUUGGGUGGUAAACCUAACGGCGAAAUGAAAGUGAAGGUGGCCUAGAUGCCGCUGAUAUGGGAUCCGUGUGGUCUUGGCCAUGCGGCGCACCAUAGCCCCGUCCUCGUCGCUUGCGAUAGGGCGGAGGAAGAGCGCAUACGCUGGGACCCGAAAGAUGGUGAACUAUGCCUGAGCAGGAUGAAGCCAGAGGAAACUCUGGUGGAGGUCCGAAGCGGUUCUGACGUGCAAAUCGAUCGUCUGACUUGGGUAUAGGGGCGAAAGACUAAUCGAACCAUCUAGUAGCUG